rnacentral:tRNA from 1 species
GAAGGUAUAGCUCAGCAGUAGGCCACGUGCUUAGCAUGCACAAGGUCCUGGGUUCAAUCCCCAGUGCCUCUG